AUUGAACGCUGGCGGCAGGCCUAACACAUGCAAGUCGAGCGGAGCGGCGGACGGGUGAGUAAUGCCUAGGCAUCUGCCUGGUAGUGGGGGAUAACGUCCGGAAACGGGCGCUAAUCCCGCAUCCUAUCAGAUGCGCCUAGGUCGGGUUAGCUGGUUGGUGGGGUAAAUGCCUACCAAGGCGACGAUCCGUAACUGGUCUGAGAGGAUGACCCGCCACACUGGAACUGAGACACGGUCCAGACUCCUACGGGAGGCAGCAGUGGGGAAUAUUGCACAAUGGGCGCAAGCCUGAUGAAGCCAUGCCGCGUGUAUGAAGAAGGCCUUCGGGGUGUAAAGUACUUGCAGCGGGGAGGCGUUACCCGCAGAAGAAGCACCGGGUAACUCCGUGCCAGCAGCCGCGGUAAUUC
rnacentral:rRNA from 1 species